rnacentral:lncRNA from 1 species
GAACUCUCUCUCUCUCUCUCUCUCUCUCUCUCUCUCUAUAUAUAUAUAUAUAUAUAUAUAUAUAUAUAUAUAUAUGUAUGUAUGUAUGUAAAUUUGAUGUUAUAUUUGAAUUUGUAUUUUAAAAAUUUAGAUUUAAUAUAAUAUAUUUUGAAAUAUUGAAAAAAGAAAUAAUUGUAUCGGGUUCAAAUUUCGGGUUCGGGUUUCAAAUUUUUCGCCGGGUUUGGGUUUGGAUAUAGAUUUUUAAAAUCCGUCGGGUUUGGGUUCGGGUCGCGGGUUUGGAGUCAGGUUCAGGUUUUUGAAAAUCCGCCCCAAAUCCGAUCCGUUGACAUCUCUAGUUCGAUCAUCAGCCAACCAGUUGUUGUUCGACCUUUGAUUUUAAGGAUGUUAAAUUAUGAUUAUAAAUAAAUCUAUUAAUCUAUCUAUUAACUAGAGUUGAGCUAGAAUACUAUCGAUAGCAAACGGGCUCCGUUGCCACCCAUUUAUUUUCGAUGAUGGAGCCUCCAAAUCGACGAUCGGCACCGUUGAAC